rnacentral:rRNA from 1 species
UACGUAGGGGGCGAGCGUUGUCCGGAUUUACUGGGCGUAAAGCGCGUGUAGGCGGCCGGAUAAGUCGGGUGUGAAAGCCCGGGGCUCAACCCCGGGAUGCCGCUCGAAACUGCUCGGCUUGAGGACGGAAGAGGGGAGUGGAAUUCCUGGUGUAGCGGUGAAAUGCGUAGAGAUCAGGAGGAACACCCGUGGCGAAGGCGGCUCCCUGGUCCGUCCCUGACGCUGAGACGCGAAAGCGUGGGGAG